GCACCCGUAGCUCAGUUGGUUAGAGCACUACCUUGACGGUAGGGGUCGGUGGUUCGAGUCCACUCGGGUGUACCA
rnacentral:tRNA from 1 species